rnacentral:rRNA from 1 species
GACAGAGGCCUCAAGCGUUAGGCGGAAUCACUGGGCUUAAAGCGUGUGUAGGCGGAUCGUUAAGUGUCUUGUGAAAUCCCACGGCUCACCCGUGGAACUGCUGGGCAUACUGGCGAUCUUGGGCCAACUAGGGGCAACUGGAACAAGCGGUGGAGCGGUGAAAUGCGUAGAUAUCGCUUGGAGCGCCGAAGGUGAAAACAGGUCGCUGGGAGUGCGCCGACGCUGAGACACGAAAGCCAGGGGAGCAAACGGG